rnacentral:lncRNA from 1 species
UGUUCAACUGAUUGAAUAUUACUAAUUUGCUGUCUCAUUUAGAUCUCAGAAGAGUUUAGUUACAGUUGGAAAAGGAACCAAAUAGAAAAAAACCCAUCAACAAAAAUCUAGAGGGGGAAAAAAAUUAAAGCUGCUCCACAGACAUGAUAUUGCAUAUAAUUGGCAGUUACAGAGAUUUUACACCUUCUUCAGAGCAUCUGGAGCUGACUGCUAUAUGAGACCUGGUAUCGACUGAUGGGAAGGUUGGUGUGUUGCACCCUGGCAAUUCCCAUGAGGCUGUGAAGCCUGGAGUCAUGAGAGUCAUUAGAGCCUUUACUACUUUUGAAAUCAUUCCUGAGGGGGAAGAAGGCCUAGCUAGCGGUGAGUGAGAUAAAACAAAAGUAUGUCCAAGUAAAAUGAGCUGAGCUUUUCUGUAGAAUUAGCUCAGUUUUAAGCAGUGGACACUUUUAGUUCUGUUCCUGUAGUUAAUUUGGCAUCGGCAGUGUGCAGGAACCUGAGAUUUGACAUGUAAUCAGAAUAAGUCUAUCUUGACAGACUUGACAUAAUAAACUACCACAUUCUUGUGGUAUUGCAAAAUAUGUAAAUCAUUUUUAGAGUCUGUUUUAAUUAUAUUCUCUUUUUCUGGUGAAACACUGAUGAGUUAUUAUUCAUAAUGUAAACUGACUCAGCAGUCAAAACAUCUACAUCUAAAAUUCAACAGUCUCAACAUAUUUUAGAGAACACCAAAGCCAGAGACCUGCAGGAUUUGCAGCAUGCAGGAAGGGUCGUGCACACUUCAGCCUGAGGAAGAGCCUGAUACUACAAGUUCAUCAUUUUUCAACUUCAGUUUCAGUAUGAAAUGGAUGGAAGCAAAGAUAUUUUUGUAAUACUUGCAGGCCCAUGAACCUCUAAGUUUGAUUGAGAAGUAUGUGGUAUGUUAUUCCACAGAAAAUACAACCAAGUGUCUGACAAAUGAGUGCUUGCGCACAAUUUAUUUAGCUCUUAAUUUCAUAGUUUAGAAGUUGAGGAGCAGGUAUUCAUAUGUAAAACUAUUUUUGAAAAGCCAGAGCCUUUGAAACAAGAGGCUAAAUUUUCAAGCGCUCAGCACCAUCAAGCAGAGCCAUUGCAGCCAGAUGUUAAAAAGUGCCAAAUCCCCAGUGCCAUGAGCUACGUUACAUUCAUGGACACUUGCUUUUAGUGUGGUAAUGGAAGAUGAGCCUGUCUGAAAAUCUGUCUCCAGUGAUGGAAUUGUAAGAAAAAAAGCUUUAACAGAGAAAGAGUUUCAAAUACUACCUUGGAAAGCAUUCAAAAGUCCCUUUUCAACAAAAUCUAUCACUUUUUCAUGAAAACGGCAAUUUCCAGGAGAAGCCCCAGCUCUUCGUAAUUUUCUUCUAUGUUGGCUGGAAAACCCAAAAGCCCAAAUUGUUUUUCAACAAAAACCC